UUGAGCAUGAAAGGUUAAGUUGGAAUUGAAACGUAGGCUUCUCUGUUGCUUUCUUCAGUGAUUGAUGCAGAUGUGUGUGAUGGAGAGAGUGGGAAGAGGGAUAGGCAAGAGACGUCACGACUUUCCUGCUCUGAAAAGAGUGUAGGUUUGGAAUUGGCAACCUAAAGCAAUAAGGUGGGGCUUGGAUACAUAAAAUGGAGUACAUGCACUUGUAGUUGCUGCAUUUU
rnacentral:lncRNA from 1 species